UGGGUGGUAUAUUUCAUCUAAAGCUAAAUAUUGGCCAGAGACCGAUAGCGCACAAGUAGAGUGAUCGAAAGAUGAAAAGCACUUUGGAAAGAGAGUUAAACAGUACGUGAAAUUGUUGAAAGGGAAGCGCUUGCAACCAGACUUGCAUGCCGUCGAUCAUCCUGGGUUCUCCCUGGUGCACUCAGCGGCGUUCAGGCCAGCAUCGGUUUCGGUGGUUGGAUAAAGGCCUUGGGAAUGUGGCUCCUCUCGGGGAGUGUUAUAGCCCUCGGUGCAAUGCAGCCUACCGGGACCGAGGACCGCGCUUCGGCUAGGAUGCUGGCGUAAUGGUUGUAAGCGACCCGUCUUGAAACACGGACC
rnacentral:rRNA from 1 species